rnacentral:rRNA from 1 species
UUCCUAACGGGAGGCAACAGGGGGGAAUUUUGCGCCAUGGGGGCCACCCUGAAUCAAGACCCCGGGUGAGCUAUGAAGGCUUUCGGGUUGUAAAGCUUUUUUGAGGGGGAAGAUAGUGACGGUACCCCUUAAGAAAGCCCCGGCUAAAUACGUGCCAGCAACCGCGGUAAGACGUAGGGGGCGAGCGUUGUCCGGAAUUACUGGGCGUAAAGGGCGUGUAGGCGGCCUCUUAAGUCAGCUGUGAAAUUCCCCGGCUCAAAUGGGGGCUUGCAGUUGAAAUAUCAGACUUUGAGUGUCAGGAGAGGAAGGUGGAAUUCCCAGUGUAGCGGUGAAAUGUGUAUAUAUUUGGGAGGAACACCCGCUGGCGAAGGCGGCCUUCUGGCCUUUAAUCUGACGCUGAGGCGCGAAAGACUAGAGGUAGGCCAACCAGGAUUUAAUACCCCUGGUAGUCCUACCUGUAUAACCCCUGGGUAUCUAGGUGUAUGGGGGCUUUAAACGCCUUCUGUGCCACUAAGCUAACGCAACUAAGACCCCG